rnacentral:rRNA from 1 species
GACGAGCGCUGGCGGCGUGCUUAACACAUGCAAGUCGAGCGAUGAAGCUUCUUCGGAAGUGGAUUAGCGGCGGACGGGUGAGUAACACGUGGGUAACCUGCCUUAUAGUGGGGAAUAGCCUUUCGAAAGGAAGAUUAAUACCGCAUAAGAUUGUAGUUUCGCAUGAAACAGCAAUUAAAGGAGCAAUUCGCUAUAAGAUGGACCCGCGGCGCAUUAGCUAGUUGGUGAGGUAACGGCUCACCAAGGCGACGAUGCGUAGCCGACCUGAGAGGGUGAUCGGCCACAUUGGGACUGAGACACGGCCCAGACUCCUACGGGAGGCAGCAGUGGGGAAUAUUGCACAAUGGGGGAAACCCUGAUGCAGCAACGCCGCGUGAGUGAUGACGGUCUUCGGAUUGUAAAGCUCUGUUUUUAGGGACGAUAAUGACGGUACCUAAGGAGGAAGCCACGGCUAACUACGUGCCAGCAGCCGCGGUAAUAC